UCAUCUUCACUCUUCACCAUCGCAUACCCAAUCACUUCAGCUGUGAAAUGUUAUCGUUUAUUGUGAGUAACUUAAAAAUCUUCAUAUAUCUUCUGUGGGUUAUCAAUCAAGUGAUAUGGACUAAAGCUGCUCAUGUGUUUAUCAGCACUUAAAAGUGUGUUCUUCGGUGGAUGGGAUGAAGCUCUAAUUUUUUGAUAUGUUGAGGGUCUCAGGUUCCUAGAUUAUACUUUUGAUAUGAUCUUUGCUGGGAUGGAGAAAAUGAGAUGCUAGACCCACAUACUACUAGAUUGUAGUAGUCUAUCUAAGAGUUUCAGCUGCCAAUAUCUUACCUGACCCUCCCUUUUUGUUGCGAGUUCUUUUUGAAGGCUGACAUAGUAUAGGCUAGGGAACUUCUUUUGUCUUUUUGUUAGUUUCCCCAUUGUAAAUAUAUGGUUGUGUAUCUCUAAACACUAUAUCCUACUCAAUAUAUUUACUCUCUUGUUGCUCGCAUCCUUAUGUAUGGACGUUUUAAUUUGUCACA